rnacentral:rRNA from 1 species
GGGGUCAACAUUGUCUUCUCAGGACAUGUACACACAUAGGAAAGGAUGAAUCGGGUGCUCAACUAUGUGUUGGAUCCGUGCGGGCCGGUUUACAUUAAGAUUGGGGAUGACAGUAACAUUGAGAAAACCGACACUGGUCAUGCAGAUGACCCUGGAAAGUGUCCCUCAUCGGGUGACAACCACCCUGAAUUUGGUGGAGUCUGCCAUCUGACAUUCACUUCUGGUCCCGCCAAGGGGAAUUUUUGCUGGGAAUGACAGCCGGAAUGGAGCGCAUUCAGGGAAAGCAGUUUCGGCGACAUUUUAGAGGUAAUCACUUCACCUUCUCCUUCUCCUCUUCGCUCCUCACUCGAUGUACGACACAAAAGGGAAUGUGUCAUGUGUAUGUUCUUGUACCAGUUCUCAGCCAAGAAAUGUGGAGAAUUCCACAUAUGCCUUGUGGACAUGGCACCGGAACUAGGAAUAUAUAUGGAGAACGGAGUGUAG